GCCCCCGGCACCCUCCGCCCCGGCCGGGACGCAGCUCCGCCGGCGGUGGAGGGAGCGGCCCGCAGGGGAAAGGUGACCCGGGGCUGGCAGGAACGCGGGCCGAGCCGUGGGGCACCAGCCCGGGUGCGGGACGGCAGCAUUCGUAUGGAGGAAAACACAGUAUUCAAGGUAUAACCUUGCUGGUGCCAGAUGGAGAGAGACCACUUAUAUGUACUGAUGGGUUGGACUGUGCAUAUAAGUUGACUGCCCCACAACUUUGAGAUUUGCAUGUUGGCAAUAUCGAAUGAGAUCUUCACAAAACAAUUUUCUAUUCAUUAUCAACUCCACAAUAUUUUGGAUUAUUUUCUCUCUUGUAGUAUUUUCUUGUGUUUUUCUGAGCUUGGUGUUAGUUUAUUUUUGCCAGUCAUAUACCUAGUUUCUCUGGAGCUAUUCUUUCUUUGUGCUGGUUGUUUUUCUUCAUUUGGAUAUAAUUUCUAAGGUUAAUAGUUGUACUGUUUGAUUUUGCCCUGAAAUAGAAACAAAAAUUGUUAAUUAAGAUCCAACCUAAAAAAAAAAUAAUGGUUAAAAUAUUCAGCUGGAUGCUUUCCCCCAACUUCCUAUGUUGCUAUUUAUCACUGUACAGUAUCUUUCCCAAACUUCUGUCUGAUUACAUAGUAUAAGAUUUACUGUUAUUCUUUUUUAAACAAGAGUAUAUACUUCUGAGAGCUGGGGAGCCCAGCAAUACAAUAAAACCAUAUGGAUUUAUUCUAUAGCAUGUGAUUGAUGGUUGAAAUGAGCUCUCAGCUUUCAUAAUAAUCUUGAGAAGAAAAAGAGAGAGGUGGGGUGUAACAAGCAUGAAGAAAAGAGAAGAAAAACCUUUGGGACUCAACCAUGUUUUGCUUAGUCCUUUGCUUUGUGUUUGUCAAGGACGUAAAGAGUCAUGUAUGCCCUGAGGCCAGGACUUAAAGAACAUGAGUCCUGUACUGGUUUGUUGUAGGACUUGUACAAGAGAUCCCCACUGUUGUAAUUACAGUCACAAAAAACAAAACAGACAAACAAAUAAAAAAGAAUCACCAAAAACAAACAAAAAAAAA